rnacentral:lncRNA from 1 species
AGGGAGUAGAACUGACGACAACGAUAAUUUAUAGAAAGGAUAAUUUACGUGGAACAGAUCUAAUUGAAAAGAUAUCGCCUCAUCAUCCGAUCGAUCCACGGUGACCACCUAGCGCUCUUAAUAAAAAUACGAGUGUCUAUUCUCAAUUUGGUAUAUCAUACGAUACGGGUCCUAAGAGCAACUCUAGCGGACCCCGUAAAAUCUUGAUCCGCAAAACGCGUUUGCAGUUUCGCGAAGAUCUCGUUUACGGGUCGAAAAUUAGCGCGGCCGAACAGUAACCGUAGAUGAAACUGCAUAAUUUGAAAAUAUAGUUUCGCGGAAAGUUCAUACUACA